AUUUAAAUAGCUAUAGAGAAGAUAAAAAUAGGUUGUCUAAUCUUUGAUUUCAGCAAACGGAAAAACUAGAAUGAAUAUACAAAAUGACAAUUGAACUUUCAGUGAACAUCAUCAAGGAAUUAGGUGACCUAGGUUUUUGCAGAUUCUCAUAUACUUGGUGGUUUGGACCUUAUAAAAGCAAAGGGAAUCUUCCUACCCUAGUCCUCUGAAUUUGCUAUAAUUUCUGCAGAUUCUCAUUUGCUUGAUGGUUUGGACCAACACCAUGUUGAGUUCAUGGUACAGAAUUAAUAACAUUUUUAUACAGACAGUACUAUUCGACUAGCUACAGAGCCAAUUAAAUUUAUUGGCAAAGGCAUGACGACUGAAAGAAGGAUUGUUCUACCGUGGUGGUCCUGGCAUUGACCGAGGCCUUAAAGAAUGGAUUGAUAUGGAGCCAGAGCUCAGGUUAUUAUCAAAUAGAAAAGGGAGUAAGAGUUAUUGGACUUACAUUAUGAGUAGGUAAUGAAGUUGACAUCAGGAUAUAUGUUGUUCAGUGAUCUAGGAAUGGCCACAUAGAUUUUUUCUUUCAUUUCGUCUAUGAACUGGAAAUUAAUAGGCACGUCUCCAAGACUUCUUCGUUAUCAAUGUUCCCACAAACAACCCAAAACCCCACGGCAUUUCACAAUCAUCUUCAUCCUCGACCUCAUCAUUCUUGAUUUCUGGUGCUUCAUUACCAGGCGUUGAACAUUUGGUUGGUAAUGGAGACCCGCAAAGUCAUAUAUAGAUGGAUCAUCGAAGGUUUGGAAUUGGUUGGUUUAUGGAAUUGGUCCUGAUAAGUUAUUGCGGGACAGAUUCAGGUGAUUCAAGAAAGUCAUGGAAGACAUGCUCGGAGGAAUAAGACCUGAAAGAUAAUUGUUUGAGAGAUCAACAGUUUCUAACAGAUGUAGGCUUCCAAUCUUGUCAGGAAUCUUUCCAGUCAAUUGAUUCCGAGAUAAAUUCGAAGCACCCAAGUAUGUGUGAUCAGCUAUCUCUUCUGGGAUUUCUCCCUCCCAAGUAUGCAAGAUUAGCUAUCUCUUCUGGGAUUUCUCCCUUUAAAUUAUUUCAUGUCUUUGCAGUAAGGAUUGCAUGUUCCUGUUGUGUGUGGACGGAUAAUAAGAAAGAAAUGGCAAAUAAAGAGCGAGCAUUCUCUAUAUCAGUUCAUUAGAUGCUAGGAGAUCUCUAUCUUCUACUCUUAUCUUGUUGAAGUGAUGUUUUUCUGCUUUCACAAUUCAUCUAACUGUUUUUUCUUUUUUUAAUGUAUGAUUUGCUUGCCAUCAUUUUUUGUGCCUGACAGAGUCAUACAGUCGGCCAUUUUCCUUGCAGAUAUAAUAAUUUUAUUUCAUAUUGGCCAGCUGAGCUGCAUACGGCUGUUCCAAGCCGACCAUUCUUUCCUAGGGGAUUUUCAUGGGAUGAAGGUUUUCAUCAACUGUUGAUCUGGCGUUGGGAUAUCCGAAUAUGUGUGGAUAUUUUUGGCCACUGGUUAGAUUUAAUGAACAUUGAUGGAUGGAUUCCACGUGAGCAAAUUUUGGGUUCUGAAGCUCUAAGGUACUGUGAGUGUAUUGUUCAAGUUUUUUAACUGAAUUGAAAUCUUAGAGUUUGGCUGGCUCCUUCAAAAAAUUCUUAAAAUUUGGCUGGAAAGAGUGUUUGCCAGAUUCAUCCUUGAAGAAAUUCUGCAAUGUCUUUUCUGCUGUAAUUGCAGCAAGGUUCCAGAGGAAUUUGUUGUUCAGCGCCGAACUAAUGGAAAUCCCCCCACCUUAUUUUUGGGUUUUGGUGCUCUGCAAGUCGUAAGUAGAUGUGUAAUUCGAAGAGACCAACACCCUAUCCUUCUAAAUGUCAAGAAAAUUCUUCUCACUUAAUGACAAGUCAUCAUCCUUAAAGGGAGAGAGAUGAGCAGCUAUUGUUGGCACGGGAGAGAUGAUAGAGCGACUCCUAAGCUUGCAAUUCCUCACAAAAGCAUCAAUCACAUUACAUGAGCUUGCACAUGGUUGAACUACAAACUAUUCUUAACAAUCCACGAAAUAAAGAGCCCUAUUAGGGAAACUCCUUCA